rnacentral:rRNA from 1 species
GAUGAACGCUGGCGGCGUGCCUAAUACAUGCAAGUCGAGCGAACAGACGAGGAGCUUGCUCCUCUGACGUUAGCGGCGGACGGGUGAGUAACACGUGGAUAACCUACCUAUAAGACUGGGAUAACUUCGGGAAACCGGAGCUAAUACCGGAUAAUAUAUUGAACCGCAUGAUCCAAUAGUGAAAGACGGUUUUGCUGUUUCUUAUAGAUGGAUCCGCGCCGCAUUAGCUAGUUGGUAAGGUAACGGCUUACCAAGGCAACGAUGCGUAGCCGACCUGAGAGGGUGAUCGGCCACACUGGAACUGAGACACGGUCCAGACUCCUACGGGAGGCAGCAGUAGGGAAUCUUCCGCAAUGGGCGAAAGCCUGACGGAGCAACGCCGCGUGAGUGAUGAAGGUCUUCGGAUCGUAAAACUCUGUUAUUAGGGAAGAACAAAUGUGUAAGUAACUAUGCACGUCUUGACGGUACCUAAUCAGAAAGCCACGGCUAACUACGUG